UGGGGAAUUUUGGACAAUGGGCGAAAGCCUGAUCCAGCAAUGCCGCGUGUGUGAAGAAGGCCUUCGGGUUGUAAAGCACUUUUGUCCGGAAAGAAAUCCUUGGCUCUAAUACAGUCGGGGGAUGACGGUACCGGAAGAAUAAGCACCGGCUAACUACGUGCCAGCAGCCGCGGUAAUACGUAGGGUGCAAGCGUUAAUCGGAAUUACUGGGCGUAAAGCGUGCGCAGGCGGUUUGCUAAGACCGAUGUGAAAUCCCCGGGCUCAACCUGGGAACUGCAUGUGACUGGCAGGCUAGAGUAUGGCAGAGGGGGGUAGAAUUCCACGUGUAGCAGUGAAAUGCGUAGAGAUGUGGAGGAAUACCGAUGGCGAAGGCAGCCCCCUGGGCCAAUACUGACGCUCAUGCACGAAAGCGUGGGGAGCAAACAGGAUUAGAUACCCUGGUAGUCCACGCCCUAAACGAUGUCAACUAGUUGUUGGGGAUUCAUUUCCUUAGUAACGUAGCUAACGCGUGAAGUUGACCGCCU
rnacentral:rRNA from 1 species